GAUGAACGCUGGCGGCGUGCCUAACACAUGCAAGUCGAACGGAAAGGCCCUGCUUUUGUGGGGUGCUCGAUUGGCGAACGGGUGAGUAACACGUGUGUAACCUGCCCUUGUCUUUGGGAUAACUUCAGGAAACUGGGGCUAAUAUCGGAUAGGAUCUCCUGCUGCAUGGUGGGGGUUGGAAAGUUUCGGCGUUUGGGGAUGGACUCGCGGCUUAUCAGCUUGUUGGUGGGGUAGUGGCUUACCAAGGCUUUGACGGAUAGCCGGCCUGGGAGGGUGACCGGCGACAUGGGGACUGAGGUACGGAGCAGACGCGUACGGGAGGCAGCAGUGGGGAAUAUGGCACAGUGAGCGGGAGCCUGUGGCGGCGACGCCGCGUGCGGAAUGACGGCCUUCGGGUUGAGAACCGCUUUCGCCUGUGACGAAGCGGGAGUGACGGUAAUGGGUAAAGAAGCACCGGCUAACUACGUG
rnacentral:rRNA from 1 species